rnacentral:rRNA from 1 species
AUACGUAGGUGACAAGCGUUAUCCGGAUUUACUGGGUGUAAAGGGCGUGUAGGCGGUUUAGCAAGUCAGAAGUGAAAUUCCCGGGCUUAACUUGGGCGCUGCUUCUGAAACUGCUUUACUUGAGUGCUGGAGAGGAUAGUGAAAUUCCUAGUGUAGCGGUAAAAUGCGCAGAUAUUAGGAGGAACACCGGUGGCGAAGGCGGCUAUCUGGACAGUAACUGACGCUGAGGCGCGAAAGCACGGGGAGCAAACAGGAUUAGAUACCCUGGUAGUCCGUGCCGUAAACGAUGAAUACUAGGUGUAGGGGGUAUCGACUCCCUCUGUGCCGCAGUUAACACAUUAAGUAUUCCACCUGGGGAGUACGGCCGCAAGGUUGAAACUCAAAUGAAUUGACGGGG